rnacentral:lncRNA from 10 species
GUGAAGGAUGUGUUUGCUUUCCCUUCUGCCAUGAUUAGUCCUAUAAAGGGAACCAUUUACCAAGCCCAGUCACUGGUGGCAGCCUUGGAGCUCACAUUCAGAACACAGCCACUGACUUGAUUCAUUCAUGGGCCUGGCGCAGUGGCUCAUGCCUGCAAUCCCAGCACUUUGGGAGGCUGAGGCAGGCGGAUCACCCGAGGUCAGGAGUUCAAGACCAGCCUGAUCAACGUGGCAAAACCCCAUCUCUACUAGAAAUACAAAAAUUGGCUGGGCAUGGUGGCGUGUGCCUGUAAUCCCAGCUACUCGGAAGGCGGAGGCAGGAGAAUUGCUUGAACCCAAGAGGUGGAGGUUGGGCCAAGAUUGUGUCACUGCAUUCCAGCCUGGGCAAUAGAGCAAGACUCUGUCAAAAAAAAAAAAAAAGUUCAUUCAUGUUGUUCUGGGUCGCUGUUGUUCAUUUCUUUUCAUUGCUGUAUAGUAUUACAUUGUCUGCCCGCUAUGGUAUGAAUGUUUGUGUCCCACCCAAAUUUCAUAUAUUGAAAUCUAAUCUCCAAUAGUAUUAAGUGGUGGGGGCUUUAGGAAGUGAAUGGGUUACAAAGGCUCUCCCCCCAUAAAUGGAAUUAGUACCCUCAUAAAAGAGGCUUGAAAAAAUCCUGUUUGUCCCUUUUGCCAUGUGAGGACACAGCAAAAGGGUGCCAUCUAUGAUGAACAGGGCCUUACCAGACAUCAAAUCUGUUGACGUUUGCAUCUUAGACUACCUAGCCUCUAGAACCAUGAGCCAUAAAUUCUGUUGUUUGUAAAUUACCCAGUUGAGGUAUUCA